rnacentral:rRNA from 1 species
UACGUAGGGGGCUAGCGUUAUACGGAAUUACUGGGCGUAAAGGGUGCGUAGGCGGUCUUUCAAGCCAGAAGUGAAAGGCUACGGCUCAACCGUAGUAAGCUUUUGGAACUGUAAGACUUGAGUGCAGGAGAGGAGAGUGGAAUUCCUAGUGUAGCGGUGAAAUGCGUAGAUAUUAGGAGGAACACCAGUAGCGAAGGCGGCUCUCUGGACUGUAACUGACGCUGAGGCACGAAAGCGUGGGGAGCAAACAGGAUUAGAUACCCGUGUAGUCCCU